GUGGCGAACGGGUGAGUAAUGUAUCGGAACGUACCUUUCAGUGGGGGAUAACGUAGCGAAAGUUACGCUAAUACCGCAUAUUCUGUGAGCAGGAAAGCAGGGGAUCGCAAGACCUUGCGCUGAUUGAGCGGCCGAUGUCAGAUUAGCUAGUUGGUGAGGUAAAGGCUCACCAAGGCGACGAUCUGUAGCGGGUCUGAGAGGAUGAUCCGCCACACUGGAACUGAGACACGGUCCAGACUCCUACGGGAGGCAGCAGUGGGGAAUUUUGGACAAUGGGCGCAAGCCUGAUCCAGCCAUGCCGCGUGAGUGAAGAAGGCCUUCGGGUUGUAAAGCUCUUUCGGCCGGGAAGAAAUCGCAUGGGUUAAUACCCUGUGCGGAUGACGGUACCGGCAUAAGAAGCACCGGCUAACUACGUGCCAGCAGCCGCGGUAAUACGUAGGGUGCGAGCGUUAAUCGGAAUUACUGGGCGUAAAGCGUGCGCAGGCGGUUUGUUAAGAUAGGCGUGAAAUCCCCGGGCUCAACCUGGGAACUGCGCUUAUGACUGGCAAGCUAGAGUACGGCAGAGGGGGGUGGAAUUCCACGUGUAGCAGUGAAAUGCGUAGAGAUGUGGAGGAACACCAAUGGCGAAGGCAGCCCCCUGGGUCGAUACUGACGCUCAUGCACGAAAGCGUGGGUAGCAAACAGGAUUAGAUACCCUGGUAGUCCACGCCCUAAACGAUGUCAACUAGGUGUUGGGUGGGUAAAACCAUUUAGUACCGGAGCUAACGCGUGAAGUUGACCGCCUGGGGAGUACGGCCGCAAGGUUAAAACUCAAAGGAAUUGACGGGGACCCGCACAAGCGGUGGAUGAUGUGGAUUAAUUCGAUGCAACGCGAAAAACCUUACCUACCCUUGACAUGUCCAGGAGCCUAGAGAGAUUUGGGUGUGCCCGAAAGGGAACUGGAACACAGGUGCUGCAUGGCUGUCGUCAGCUCGUGUCGUGAGAUGUUGGGUUAAGUCCCGCAACGAGCGCAACCCUUGUCGUUAAUUGCCAUCAUUUAGUUGGGCACUUUAACGAGACUGCCGGUGACAAACCGGAGGAAGGUGGGGAUGACGUCAAGUCCUCAUGGAGCUUAUGGGUAGGGCUUCACACGUCAUACAAUGGUCGGUACAAAGGGUUGCCAAGCCGCGAGGUGGAGCUAAUCCCAGAAAGCCGAUCGUAGUCCGGAUUGCAGGCUGCAACUCGCCUGCAUGAAGUCGGAAUCGCUAGUAAUCGUGGAUCAGCAUGUCACGGUGAAUACGUUCCCGGGUCUUGUACACACCGCCCGUCACACCAUGGGAGCGGGUUCCGCCAGAAGUAGGUAGCCUAACCGCAAGGGGGGCGCUUACCACGGCGGGGUUCGUGACUGGGGUGAAGUCGUAACAAGGUA
rnacentral:rRNA from 1 species